rnacentral:rRNA from 2 species
ACAGGGAUUGCCUUAGUAACGGCGAGUGAAGCGGCAACAGCUCAAAUUUGAAAUCUGGCGUCUUUGGCGUCCGAGUUGUAAUUUGCAGAGGGCGCUUUGGCAUUGGCAGCGGUCCAAGUUCCUUGGAACAGGACGUCACAGAGGGUGAGAAUCCCGUACGUGGUCGCUAGCCUUUACCGUGUAAAGCCCCUUCGACGAGUCGAGUUGUUUGGGAAUGCAGCUCUAAAUGGGAGGUAAAUUUCUUCUAAAGCUAAAUACUGGCCAGAGACCGAUAGCGCACAAGUAGAGUGAUCGAAAGAUGAAAAGCACUUUGGAAAGAGAGUUAAAAAGCACGUGAAAUUGUUGAAAGGGAAGCGCUUGCAGCCAGACUUGCCUGUAGUUGCUCAUCUAGGUUUCUACCUAGUGCACUCUUCUAUAGGCAGGCCAGCAUCAGUUUGGGCGGUUGGAUAAAGGUCUCUGUCAUGUACCUCUCUUCGGGGAGAACUUAUAGGGGAGACGACAUGCAACCAGCCUGGACUGAGGUCCGCGCAUCUGCUAGGAUGCUGGCGUAAUGGCUGUAAGCGGCCCGUCUUGAAACACGGACCAAGGAGUCUAACAUCUAUGCGAGUGUUUGGGUGUCAAGCCCGAGCGCGUAAUGAAAGUGAACGGAGGUGGGAACCUUUCGGGGUGCACCAUCGACCGAUCCUGAUGUCUUCGGAUGGAUUUGAGUAAGAGCAUAGCUGUUGGGACCCGAAAGAUGGUGAACUAUGCUUGAAUAGGGUGAAGCCAGAGGAAACUCUGGUGGAGGCUCGCAGCGGUUCUGACGUGCAAAUCGAUCGUCAAAUUUGGGCAUAGGGGCGAAAGACUAAUCGAACUAUCUAGUAGCUGGUUCCUGCCGAAGUUUCCCUCAGGAUAGCAGUAACGUUUUCAGUUUUAUGAGGUAAAGCGAAUGAUUAGAGGCCUGGGGGUUGAAACAACCUU